rnacentral:piRNA from 1 species
UAAACAACUAAAACAGAGGGAACAACUU